GUCGGUUGGAGCUACGUUUGGCAUUUAGAGAGCCAGUAUUACUUUUAUCUAAUGUAAAAAGUUUUAUUUGUUAUGUCAGCAUUUAGCAUAAAUGUUGUUAGACAGAAGGAUAAUUAGCAUACAUCAAUUCCGGUUCACACAUACUGUUAGCACCACUUAAACCUGCAGUAACUGAUUUAUUUUGUAACAACAACACAACAUUGACAUAACUUUUAAGUUGAUAUGGCGAACUUGUUAGCAGACGGUUUCUUAUUUACACAUCCAGCAUUUAAGGAGCAACAUUAUCAUCCAUUUGGAGUCAUGUUCAUGUCCACCUGAUGAAUGGAUUUCAAAGAGCCAGCCAGGUUGCUGUGGUUACAAAAAAAGGACGUCUGGGCCCGCAGCACUGAACAGUGUCGGGGUCAUGGAAGCUCCCAAGUGACCAGCGGCAGGAGCAACAGCCAUCGGCCCCCGCUGAGCAUCAGUAAUUAGAGCCCUCCUCCCCCUCCUCCGAGCCGGGGAAGCUCUCGCCCUCCUCCUGAAGGGCAAGCGGGCAGAGAGGAGGAACAGCUGCUGAUGGGAAACCACUCUCCGGUUCCCAUGAAUGACCAGCGUCCCUCCGUCCUCCUCAGAGGAUGUGCAGCAGCAUCUUUGAUGGCGAUGAUGGAGGCUUGGACCAGACAUAUUAUAGGACCAUAGGCUGUCUGGUUUCUCAUGGCUCUUUCUUUUUGUUUGUUAUCACCAUUCCUAUGACUCAUUGGUGAUUUAUUCAUCUGUUGAUGGUUUAUUAUUAUUACUGAGAGAAUGUCUGAAUUUGAAAAGCAGUAUUGCAAGACUCACACAUGCAUAAGAUGAACAAUAAAUUACAAUAAGUGGACUAUAACAUUAGCAUGGUCUGUAAUAAAUACAACCUUUAUGAAGCAUAUAAUGGCCACUUUAAUUAAAAAUGAAAGUAUCUACUGGCCAAUAUAAUGGUCAGCUCAGGGAUGGUGACAAAAUAUUAGGUACACCCAGUGGUGGAAGAAGUAUUUAGAUCCUUUACUCAAGUCAAAGUACCAAUACACAAUGCAAUUUAAUACUCCAUCACAAGUAUUCAAGACCUGCAUUCAAAGUCAGUAUCAUCAGCAUCAUCAAAUUAUAGUUUAAGGAUCAAAAGUAAAAGUGCUUGCUCUUCAGAAAAAUAUCACCUGUGACUGAUUAAUUAAUAUGUUGCUUUUAAAAUAGAUGGAACAAUUUCUAGGGUGAUCAAUCUUUAAAAUUCUUUCUUUUUUUUUUCUUCUUUUUCCCAAAUGAAUAAUUUUUCCUCUUAAGCUCUCAAAAAAGAAAUUAAACCUUGUGAGAGGUUUAGAGGGUAAAUGUCUCCUGGAUGGAACUGAUAACAACACUUAAAACAUCUGAUAUGUGGCAAAGGGCCCAAACCAGUCUCCCUUUGUAAACCAAAUGGUUGGGAAUCUGGUUUAAAACAGUGAUGACAUCUGUGAAAUAAAUGUAGUGGAGUUACAAGUUCAAUAUUUCCCUCUGAAAUGCAGUAGAGUAGAAGUAUAAGGAAGUAACAUAAAAUGGAAAAACUGUAACACAUAUACUAAAGUGUAAGUACCUCAAAAAUUGUACUGUUCUUUUACAGUAAAUAUGCUUUCCACCUCUGGGUACACCUAACAAUACAAAAAUGGAUUCCAAAAUAACAAUUCAACAUGAACUGAUCUUUAUAUUGGAGGACUGAUGUUGUGCUGUCCCAUGUUGUCCACUCCCUGAAUAUUACAUGCAGCUAUAUUUCAUAAGAACUAGAACUCAACAUUACAUCUUACUGAUUGUUUCUGGGCUAGAGCUGCUAGUAUAAUACUAUAUGUGGCUGUCCAUGUCCUGACUUUAAUAUUCACAGCAAUAAAAUGCAUCAACAACCUGUUUUUAUUAGCUUU